GCCCCAAAGCUAGCCAAAACCUAUAUUUAAAUAUACAAUAAUAAAUAAUUAUACAUAACCCUAAAACCAAACACUAAACCAUUUUUCCAUCCUAGUAUUGGAGAAAGAAAAGAUACAUCUGAGCAAUAGAGAAAGUACCGCAAGGGAAUGCUGAAAAAGAAAAUGAAAUAAAACAUCAAAGCAUAAAAAAGCAGAGAUUAUUCCUCGUACCUUUCGCAUCAUGAUCUAGCUAGUAAAACCAGGCAAAGAGUCCUUUAGUCUGAAACCCCGAAACUAGACGAGCUACUCCGAGACAGCCUAUUAAGGGCACACCCGUCUCUGUGGCAAAAGAGUGGGAAGAGCUCCGAGUAGAGGUGACAAGCCUAACGAGCCUAGUUAUAGCUGGUUGCUUAGAAAAUGAAUAUUAGUUCAGCCCUAUAAUCUUCUUUAAAUCAAAUUCAUAAGAACUAAAGAAUAAAAGCUAAUUAUAGGAGUUAGUUAAAGGAGGUACAGCUCCUUUAAAAAAGGAUACAACCUUAAAGAAAGAGUAAGGAUCAUAUUAAUUUAGGUACCCUAUUAAAGUGGGCCUAAAAGCAGCCAUCAAAACAGAAAGCGUUAUAGCUCAAACAGGUACUUAACCAAUUAUACCGAUAACCCGUCCAACCUCUUCACCCUUACUAAGCUAUUCUACCUACUAAUAGAAGUAAUAAUGCUAGAAUGAGUAAUAAGAAGACACGAUCUUCUCCCAGCACACGUGUAAACCAGAUCGGACCCCCCACUGGUAUAUAAAGAACACAACCAAAGAGUGAACCGCAAAAUACAAAAUAACCAAGAAAAACCUGCACCACCAAUCGUUAACCCAACACAGGAGUGCUUAUUAGGGAAAGACUAAAUAAAAAAGAAGGAACUCGGCAACCAAGGCCCCGCCUGUUUACCAAAAACAUGGCCUUUUGCAAUUAUAGAAUAAAAGGUCCAACCUGCCCAGUGACAUUAGUUUAACGGCCGCGGUAUUUUAACCGUGCUAAGGUAGCGUAAUCACUUGUCUUUUAAAUGAAGACCCGUAUGAAAGGCGUCACGAGGGCCCUACUGUCUCCUUUUUUAAGUCUAUGAAAUUGAUCUACCCGUGCAGAAGCGAGUAUAAACACAUAAGACGAGAAGACCCUGUGGAGCUUAAGAUAAAUAACUAACUGUGCCUAGCAACUCCCAUAAGCAGCAUAUAAGCAUAACAGUCCUAGUUAAAGUAUCUUCGGUUGGGGCGACCAUGGGGGAUAAAAAAGCCUCCAAGAAGAACCAGGGGGUAAGUCCAACCAACCCCUAAGAGCCAAGAGCUACAGCUCAAAGCAACAGAAAAUUCUGACUAAUAAUGACCCGAGCAACGCUCGAUCAACGAACCAAGUUACCCCAGGGAUAACAGCGCAAUCCUUUCCAAGAGCCCAUAUCGCCGAAAGGGUUUACGACCUCGAUGUUGGAUCAGGACAUCCUAGUGGCGAAAAUUCUACUAAGGGUUCGUUUGUUCAACGAUUAAAGUCCUACGUGAUCUGAGUUCAGACCGGAGCAAUCCAGGUCGGUUUCUAUCUAUGUUAUAACCCUUCCUAGUACGAAAGGACCGGAAGGAGUAAGGCCUCUAUUAAAAACAUGCCUUAUCCCCAUCCGAUGCCCCCAACUAAAUCGGCAAAGGGAAAUACCGCCAAGUCAAAGAUAAUGACA
rnacentral:rRNA from 1 species